UUAACUUUAAAAAGUUGGCGUUUACCUAAGGAGAAGAGUGUGUUUUUAAAAUGGCAAGUGUGGCUGAUCACAGAUCAGUAUUGGUGGAGAUCGCAGAACCACAGGCCAAAAUCACAGGACGUCUAAGAAGAUCCUACAUGGAUAUUUUGGGUUCUCGUUUGGUUGCUGGUGUGAGAAGCAGGAACCUCGAGUCUGUUGCUGUUCCUAGACGAGCGUUGGACGGAUGUUCUCGGA